GACGAACGCUGGCGGCGUGCCUAAUACAUGCAAGUCGAACGCAGUGGGGACGGGUGAGUAACACGUGGGUAACCUCCCAUCAGAGGGGAUAACACUUGGAAACAGGUGCUAAACCGAUAGGGAGGAUUGGACCGGCGGUGCAUUAGUUAGUUGGGGAGGUAACGGCUCACCAAGGCCACGAUGCAUAGCCGACCUGAGAGGGUGAUCGGCCACACUGGAACGGAGACACGGCCCAGACUCCUACGGGAGGCAGCAGUAGGGAAUCUUCGGCAAUGGACGAAAGUCUGACCGAGCCACGCCGCGUGAGUGAAGAAGGUUUUCGGAUCGUAAAGCUCUGUUGUUAGAGAAGCGGUAUCUAACCAGAAAGCCACGGCUAACUCCGUGCCAGCAGCCGCGGUAAUAC
rnacentral:rRNA from 1 species